GGAGAGAUGGCUCAGUGGUUAAGAGCACUGGCUGCUCUUGCAGAGGACCUGGGUUCAAUUCCCAGCACCC
rfam:Neotoma lepida isolate 417 scaffold_421, whole genome shotgun sequence.